rnacentral:lncRNA from 10 species
CGGGUGUUGGGGCCUGGUCCCGCUUGCAAAAGCUCCCACGGACCAGAGAAAAGAGGAGGAUGUCAGACGUAGAAACAAAUGGCGUGUCAAGUUUCGCAGGAAGAGAGGGAAGAGUGAAGCUCCGGGAGCCAGCCACGAUUAGUCGCGCCUUCUGUGACGUCCAAUGGCAGAGGUCAAAGGGAUUCCUGGGGCAACCUCGAGGGAAAGAAUUCUGGCUCCGAGGGCCGGUGUACAGUGCUUUAAAUAUGGCAGUGGUUAUGUGUGAAAUUAUCGUGUUUUUCUGUUUAACCUGUUUCUUGUCUCUUCAUCGCCUUUCUAUAUAAUGUAAGACCAGAGGCUUUAUGUAGUGAAUUCCCUGUAACCCCGGCUGCUUGGACAGAUAGGUAUUCAAGUAUUUGUUUCUUGAAGUAAUCCUCUGAAUUAACUUGCUCACAUGUAAAAAAUAAUAACGGGCUGGGAAACGCCAGUAAUAGCCGCCAAACGUUUGUUAGACAUUUACAGUGUGCCAGGGACUGCAUUUUACGUGUAUUAUCACAUUCCUCAGAACAGCCUAAUGAGGUAUAUAUUACUAGAAUGCCUAUUUUUCAGAUGAGGAAACUGAUGCAUAGAAAGGAUAAUUUACUCAAGAGCGAGGAAGUAGCAAGCAUAAAAUCCAAGUACAUUUUUUUCUGCAUGUAUUAAUAGGUACAAUGAAGUAACUUUUUAAAUUGCUGUAGGUAUCAAUCAUAGUCUUAAUUCCCAGUAAUUCACUUACUAAGAAAUAUUUUCUGCUUCUCUUUCAUCAUUCAUGGGAGAGAUACAUAUCCCUAAAUAUUUUGCACAUUUAAAACUUAAACUUGGGUAUGGUGGCUUAUGCCUGUAAUCACGGCGUUUUGGGAGGCUCAGGUGGGAGGAUUGCUUGAGUCCAGGAGUUCCAGGCCAGCCUGGGCCACAUAGUAAGACCCCGUAUCUACAAAAAAUAAAAAAAAAAUUAACCGGGCAUGGUAGUGUCUCUGUAGUACUAGCUACUCGGGAGGCUGAGGUGGUAGGAUCACUGGCGCCCAGCAAUUCCAGCCUGCAGUUAGGAUUACCACACUGCACUUCAGCCUGAGCGGCAGAAUGGGACCAUGUCUGAAAAAAUAAAUAAAAAAUAAAACUUGCAGGUAUGUUCUGAAUGUUUAUUGUAUGCAUCCUCUAUGAGGUAUCAUUUUAUUGGAAAUUAUUGCAUUGUCUACAAAAAUAUGAAGAACUCUGAAGAUGCCAAAAGAUAAACCGUGAAAGAGUACUAGAAGUGAGCUCCUCAAAAAGAUAAAGCUGAGAAGUGUUUCCCAAUUUUUCUUACUCAUUUAUGUAUGUAAUACUUUAUGUCUAGAAACUGAAUUUCAGAGCUGGGAGGGAACUUAAAAGUUAGUCCAGUUCUUUCAUGUUAGUGCCAAGAAAGCUGAUCAGAAAGAGAUUAAAUGACUUGCCCAAAAUUGAAUAGUCUUAAAUCUGAGCUGAGGCAGGCGUCUGAAUGUCUUAAAUUGGAGUUAAAUGUAUUAGCGUCAUAGUAUUAACAUCAUCAUAUUCCAUAUCUCUCAAAUCUGAUUUGAUUUUCAUUACAAUAGAGAAAUAAGUGUGAUUAGUAUUAUCCCCAUUUCCUUCACCGGGAGGCACAUUGUUUUAGUAUCAAAAGCAGCUACCUUGGGAGAAUCCGGGGCUAGAAACCUGACUUCAUUUCAAGUUUUACUCUUGUUGCACCAAAACCUUGGGUGAGUUAGUUUCUCAGCCUCAGUCCCCUCAUCAGGAAAAUGCUGUGUUAGCACUUUCUGUGAAGAAUGAUCAAAGGAGUGGAGAUUAUGGAGAUUAUAAACACACUUGACACAGUAAGUGUUUAAGAACUGGUAGCUGAUUUUUACAAAGUUAUGGGUCAUAGAAGGCAGUUUAGAGAAAAGGGCAGGCUUUGGAGUAGCUCAGUUGUAUUAUAACCUUGGCUUCUUUACUCACCUAGGACAUACAUUCUCUCUUUAGCUGUAGCUUCCUCCCUUCUGAGAUGGAAAUUAUAAGCCAUCUCACAGUGUUGUGAGGAUUGGAGCUCAAGUGUGUAAAAUGCCUCCUCUGUGGGCUCUCCUUGGAGAGUUCUUGUAUCCUAUUGAUUGUCAUCAAAGGAAAAAAGUGGCAGGAUGAUGGCAUAAGUGGGAAGAACCUUGAGUUUAAUAGUCUGAAAAAGUGGUUACAGGUUCUUGCUAUGCUUUUCCUCUCUGUGGUUUUCUGAACCCAUCGCCUAACCUGAAGCCUUAAACUUCAUCUGCAAAAAUGUUUUGUGGCAGGUAAGAUGUCUUUUUUUUCUUCCAGUACUUCCCAGUUUAAAACUAAGAGUACUUCCUUGCUUAUAACUAAUUCUAUUAAUAUUAUUCUAGGUGACUCUGAAGCAGAACUCUUGAGAUGGAAGGAUUGUCAUCUGAGGAAAAAAAAUCAAGAUUAAGAGAGGAGGAACUAGAAUGAGAUUCACAUACCGUCUCUCCUCCAAGGGAAGGAGAGAGUGGUGAUGCCUGCCCACUCCUUCCUGGGCAGAACAUUUGUAGCAUGGAACAUUGGAGAAUUUGCAGUCUGCUGACUUUCUGAUUUAGGAGGUUGAUGGGGAGGCCUUAUAAUUUGCAUUUCUAACAAGUUCUGAGGUGAUGCUUCAAGUAUGUCCAGGCAGAAGGGCUGCCUCACAGAGAAUUCUGCCAUACCACAUGGGAAUUGAAGUCACAGACAUCUCUAACCCUCAAGCCUGAAACCAAAAGACUGAAAACCAACACUACAGUGGACAAAGAACAUCUCUGAACUUGUGUGGGGACCAGUGACACAAGGACCUAAGGUCUCUCUCUUCUCAUCUUGGCACUUCAGAAGUCUCCCCAAUCUUGACAAAGCCCUGGAGAAAGGGCCGGGCCUCCCGUUGAUAAGAAUAUCACUGCAGAUAAAUGGAGGUUUCAAAUUGAAAGAAAGGAGGAGGGCCUCCUGUUGAUAAGAUUAUUGUCACUGCAGGUAAAUGGAGGCUUCAAAUAGAAAUACAUUUCAGUUACAGAAAAAAAAAUUAUCUUUGUUACACAUUUGAGUUUGCAGGCCUAAGGUUACUCCCGCUACACUAUCAUCUGUAACCAUAACGCACUCAACAUUUUAAGCUAACUAUAAGGAUUGUUGCUUCACUCAAAGAUCCUGAGGUUUUAUUCACUAACAUUUUUAUUUGGUGACUAUAGUUGACAAGAACAAAGCUGUGGGGAACCAACAAACACUGCAAUGCCUGGCAUUGUCACCUCACUAGAUUGUGAGUUCCUCUGGGACAGGGUCCGUACAUUUUCUUAGAAUCCCUCACUUAGCCAUUAGCCUGCACAGUGCUUGUACUUAGUAAGUGCUCAGUAAAUGUUUGUGGAAUGAAUGCAUGAUGAACAAAAUAUAUACUGAGGACUCUUGGUGUUGAUUCUUGUUGAUAAUGUAAUAGUUAAGAUAUGUUAUAAAUAUGUUAUAAAUAUUGUAUCAAAAUAUUGUAUCAAAAAUAUACUUGAACAGGCUGGGCGUGGUGGCUCACACUUGUAAUCCCAGCCCUUUAGGAGGCUGAGGUGGGUGGAUCACUUGAGGUCAGGAGUUCGAGACCAGACUGGCCAACAUGGUAAAACCCCAUCUCCACUAAAAAAAAACAAAAGUUAACUGGGCAUGGUUGUGGGUGACUGUAA